UUUAAAAAAAUUUAGAAAAAAAUAAUAUUUUUUUUAUUUUGCGGGUCGGCGGGUACCCGCGACUCAAAUUUGGUUGACCCGCACCCGCUCCGCUAAAAAUCGACUCAACCCGCACCUACACCCGCAUGCUGAAAUUUGUAAAUCGAUCGACCCGCACCCGUUCCGCGGCGGAUCAAACAGGACGGGACCCGCGGGUAAUGACCCAAAUUCCCAGCUCUAAAUAAAAUGAACCUUUUUUGUUUCCUGUGAAAGUUGUUUUACUUCACCCGGAAUUUUCCAGUCUACCUAGGCCAAACUAUAAGAGCAUCUACAAAUCUAUUUUUAAAACAAAAGAAAUAUAUAUAUUUCAUUAUAAAAUAGAGUUUCCGGUAACUUCUCUAUAAAUAGAAUAAUAUAUUAUUUUAGUUUUCCUUUUUAUUUUAAAUUAGUGUAGAACUAAAGUAAAAUUUAACUACAUUAUGAAAUUAUUUUAAUUUUGAGAAGAAAAUGGAGAAGUAUUAAACAAGGGAAAUUAGCAUGAAAAAAAUAAUAAUUCACCAAAUAAACAUUUUGCUAGAAUAUGCAAUACAUUUUUAUGUAAUAUUAUUUCACAUAUUCCUAAGCAAUCUGAACCUUUGAUUCAAUUUUUUUUCUUUUAUGUCUCUUUUCUUCUUUUCCCCUCCCAUUUAUUUUGGAAACAAUUACACUUAUACACACUUUUUGACUUUGUAAUUUUACAAUAAGACACUUUUUUACUUUAGACACAUUUUCUCAUUGUUCAAAGACCAAAAUACUCUGUAAGAAACAAACUCACUCUCGUUACGCUCUCCGACCAAAGCAUUUUGAAUAGUCAAUAUUUCAAAAAUAAAAAACAAACCCCGAGAAAGUCACUUUCCCAAUUCACAAACCCUGAUUCCAAUUGAAUCUCAAUCUCACUCCUAAAAUCUUUCAGUUCCGAAGGUUAAAAAGAUUUAAUAACUUAAUCAGUGAUUAGAAGAUGAAACCUUUAGUGAUUUGGAGUGGUUUCGAUGGCGACGGCGGCGGAGACUGUGAGAGUAAAGGUGGAAACGAGAAUAGUGGUAAUGGAGGCGAAGGAGAGAGAGAGAGAGAGAGGUGAUGUUGGAGAAGAUGAAGCUGAUAAAUCUGAGGAUAAAGAGUUUGGCCGUUACUAUUGUGAGACUGGUAGAUCAAUGACGGCGGCGUAUCUUUGCUCGAGAUGAAUAAAGCGUGGAUGGGUCUUCAGGUAGCACCUGAAGAGUCAAUGAAGAACAAGAUUCAUGAGUUUACAAAUUCUCUACUUAUUUUGUAUUUGCGGCGUUUCUUAAUGCUGUGGCUUUGUUCUGUGUUUUGAUAAACUUAAUGUUUUAAAUUGUGGUUUAUAUGGUUGGAUGCAUAUGUUAGGAUUGAAGCUUCUGGCUCCUGUUAAGCCGUGAGUCUACAUCUAAGGAGGUUACGUAUGUACAAGUCUCUUAUCCUCCAAGGUUGGACUGGUUACGAAGAAGUCGGUGGUGGAAGACGUGAAGGUGGGUACCACAGUGGAGGAGGUUGCGGUGAAGAUUGAGGCCGUGGUGGAGAUGGUGGUGGAUACCACAGUGGAGGUGGUUGCAGUGUAGGUCGUGGUGGAAGUGGUGAUGGUGGUGGAGGUGGACGAAGAGCUUGCCGUUGAAGUGGAGGUGGAGAUGGUGGUGGUUGCGGUGGAGGUGGUGGUGGUUGUGCAGUUGGUGGUGGUUAUGGAGAAAGCGGUGGUAGAAGACGUGAAGGUGGAUACCGUGAAAGUGGUGGCGCUCGUGGAGGUGGAGGAGGAGGUGGCUGUUGCGGUGGAGGUGGUGGCUGUUGCGGUGGAGGUGGUGGCGGUGUCGCAGCUGGUGGAUACCGCAGCGGAGAAAGUGGUGGUUGUGAAGAAGGUGGUGGUUACGGGAAAGGCGGUGGUGGAUAUAAUAUAGGUGGUUGCGGUGGAGAUUGUGGUGGAGAUGAUUGUUGCAUAGAAGGUGGUGGUGCAAUGUACGUGAAGGUAGAUACAUAGUGAUGGUGGAGGUGGUGGUGUAUACGGUAGAAAUGGAAGGCAGGAGGGUGGGAAAUACGUAGGCCAUGGUGGAGAAGAAACCAAUAAAAUAUAAAAACUAAAAAUUACUACCUCCAUUCCUGAAAAUAAGAUGUUUUAGAUUUUUUUGAGAACAUUAAUUGAGAAUAUUUGAAUUGAUUAAAUUUCAUUGGUGGAAAGUUA